rnacentral:rRNA from 1 species
UACGGGGGGGGGCAAGCGUUGUUCGGAAUUACUGGGCGUAAAGGGCGCGUAGGCGGUUCGCUAAGUUGGAUGUGAAAACUCUGGGCUCAACCCAGAGCCUGCAUCCAAAAACUGGCGGGCUAGAGUUCUGGAGGGGGUAGCGGAAUUCCUGGUGUAGCGGUGAAAAUGCGUAGAUAUCAGGAGGAACACCGGUGGCGAAGGCGGCUACCUGGACAGAAACUACUGAGGCGCGAAAAGCUAGGGGGAGCAAAACAGG